rnacentral:rRNA from 1 species
CGCUCCCCGAUAAAUAACAACAUGAGGAGUCCUGCCUGCCCAGUGACUAAAGGUUAAACGGCCGCGGUAUCUUGACCGUGCGAAGGUAGCAUAAUCAUUUGUCUUCUAAAUAAAGACUAGUAUGAAUGGCAAGACGGAACUGAACUGUCUCUUUUCCAAAUAAUCCGAAUUUCACUUCUCCGUGAAGAGGCGGAGGGUAAAAUCGUUAGACGAGAAGACCCUGUCGAGCUUUUAGCAAAAACUUAACUAGUAAAGCACUUAAACUACUCUAGUAAAUGAAUGUAAGUAUAAUUAAGCUACUAAGAUUAAGUGAAGCUUUGGUUGGGGCAACCGCGGAGUAAAAGAAGCCUCCGCUAAAAAAAAAUAUUAACCACUAAACUAAGGACUACCAUCCUAUAAUCAUGAAUGAUUAAAUUGAUCCAUUUAGAUGACCAAAGGAACAAGUUACCGCAGGGAUAACAGCGUUAUCUUUUCUGAGAGUUCACAUUGACGAAAAGGUUUGCGACCUCGAUGUUGGAUCGGGACAUCCUAAAGGUGCAGAAGCUUUUAAGGGUUGGUCUGUUCGACCAUUAAAGUCCUACG